AGUGAACGCUGGCGGCGUGCUUAACACAUGCAAGUCGAACGAUGAUGCUCUAGCUUGCUAGAGCGGAUUAGUGGCGCACGGGCGAGUAAUGUAUAGCUAAUGUGCCCCUUAGAGGGGGAUAACAGUUGGAAAAGACUGCUAAUACCCCAUACUCCUUCUUCCUAUAAGGGAAGUUGGGAAAGUUUUUUCGCUAAGGGAUCGGGCUAUAUGGUAUCAGCUUGUUGGUGAGGUAAUGGCUCACCAAGGCUAUGACGCCUAUCUGGUCUGAGAGGAUGAUCAGACACACUGGAACUGAGACACGGUCCAGACUCCUACGGGAGGCAGCAGUGGGGAAUAUUACACAAUGGAGGAAACUCUGAUGUAGCAACGCCGCGUGGAGGAUGACACAUUUCGGUGCGUAAACUCCUUUUAUGUGAGAAGAUAAUGACGGUAUCACAUGAAUAAGCACCGGCUAACUCCGUGACAGCAGCCGCCGUAA
rnacentral:rRNA from 1 species